rnacentral:tRNA from 2 species
CUGCCUGUAGCUCAGCUGGACAGAGCGGCGGCCUUCUAAGCCGCGGGUCGGGGGUUCGAGUCCCUCCAGGCAGGCCA